rnacentral:rRNA from 1 species
UACGUAGGGGGCAAGCGUUGUCCGGAUUUAUUGGGCGUAAAGAGCGUGUAGGCGGUUUGGUAGGUCCGCUGUGAAAACUCGAGCUCAACCUCGAGACGCCGGUGGAAACCAUCAGACUAGAGUCCGGAAGAGGAGAGUGGAAUUCCUGGUGUAGCGGUGAAAUGCGCAGAUAUCAGGAAGAACACCCGUGGCUAAGGCAGGUCUCUGGGCAUUAACUGACGCUGAGGAGCGAAAGCAUGGGGAGCGAACAGG